rnacentral:rRNA from 1 species
GACGAACGCUGGCGGCGUGCUUAACUCAUGCAAGUCGAGCGAGCAGAUUUCCUUCGGGGAUGAAGCUAGCGGCGGACGGGUGAGUAACACGUGGGCAACCUGCCUUAUAGAGGGGGAUAGCCUUCCGAAAGGAAGAUUAAUACCGCAUAACAUCAGAUUAUCGCAUGGUAGACUGAUCAAAGGAGCAAUCCGCUAUAAGAUGGGCCCGCGUCGCAUUAGCUAGUUGGUGAGGUAACGGCUCACCAAGGCGACGAUGCGUAGCCGACCUGAGAGGGUGAUCGGCCACAUUGGGACUGAGACACGGCCCAGACUCCUACGGGAGGCAGCAGUGGGGAAUAUUGCACAAUGGGGGAAACCCUGAUGCAGCAACGCCGCGUGAGUGAUGAAGGCCUUCGGGUUGUAAAGCUCUUUGAUCAGGGACGAUAAUGACGGUACCUGAAGAACAAGCCACGGCUAACUACGUGCCAGCCGCCGCUGUAAGAC